rnacentral:rRNA from 1 species
UACAGAGGGUGCGAGCGUUGUCCGGAAUCACUGGGCGUAAAGGGCGCGUAGGCGGCUUGGUAAGUAGGGGGUGAAAUCUUGCGGCUCAACUGCAAGGCUGCCUCCUAAACUGUCAGGCUUGAGCACAGUAGAGGCAGGUGGAAUUCCCGGUGUAGCGGUGGAAUGCGCAGAUAUCAGGAGGAACACCGAUGGCGAAGGCAGGUCUCUGGGCCACUACUGACGCUGAGAAGCGAAAGCAUGGGGAGCGAACAGG